rnacentral:rRNA from 1 species
AGCGAACGCUGGCGGCAGGCCUAACACAUGCAAGUCGAACGAUCCUUCGGGAUAGUGGCGGACGGGUGAGUAACACGUGGGGACGUGCCCUUUGGUUCGGAACAACUCAGGGAAACUUGAGCUAAUACCGAAUGUGCCCUUCGGGGGAAAGAUUUAUCGCCAUUGGAGCGGCCCGCGUCUGAUUAGCUAGUUGGUGGGGUAAAGGCCCACCAAGGCUACGAUCAGUAGCUGGUCUGAGAGGAUGAUCAGCCACAUUGGGACUGAGACACGGCCCAAACUCCUACGGGAGGCAGCAGUGGGGAAUCUUGCGCAAUGGGUGAAAGCCUGACGCAGCCAUGCCGCGUGGAUGAUGAAGGUCUUAGGAUUGUAACAUCCUUUCACCGGUGAAGAUAAUGACUGUAGCCGGAGAAGAAGCCCCGGCUAACUUCGUGCCAGCCGCCGCAGUAAAAC